rnacentral:rRNA from 1 species
GUAAUGUCUGGGAAACUGCCUGAUGGAGGGGGAUAACUACUGGAAACGGUGGCUAAUACCGCAUAACGUCGCAAGACCAAAGAGGGGGACCUUCGGGCCUCUUGCCAUCAGAUGUGCCCAGAUGGGAUUAGCUUGUUGGUGAGGUAACGGCUCACCAAGGCGACGAUCCCUAGCUGGUCUGAGAGGAUGACCAGCCACACUGGAACUGAGACACGGUCCAGACUCCUACGGGAGGCAGCAGUGGGGAAUAUUGCACAAUGGGCGCAAGCCUGAUGCAGCCAUGCCGCGUGUAUGAAGAAGGCCUUCGGGUUGUAAAGUACUUUCAGCGGGGAGGAAGGUGUUGCGGUUAAUAACCGCAGCAAUUGACGUUACCCGCAGAAGAAGCACCGGCUAACUCCGUGCCAGCAGCCGCGGUAAUACGGAGGGUGCAAGCGUUAAUCGGAAUUACUGGGCGUAAAGCGCACGCAGGCGGUCUGUCAAGUCGGAUGUGAAAUCCCCGGGCUCAACCUGGGAACUGCAUUCGAAACUGGCAGGCUUGAGUCUUGUAGAGGGGGGUAGAAUUCCAGGUGUAGCGGUGAAAUGCGUAGAGAUCUGGAGGAAUACCGGUGGCGAAGGCGGCCCCCUGGACAAAGACUGACGCUCAGGUGCGAAAGCGUGGGGAGCAAACAGGAUUAGAUACCCUGGUAGUCCACGCCGUAAACGAUGUCUACUUGGAGGUUGUGCCCUUGAGGCGUGGCUUCCGGAGCUAACGCGUUAAGUAGACCGCCUGGGGAGUACGGCCGCAAGGUUAAAACUCAAAUGAAUUGACGGGGGCCCGCACAAGCGGUGGAGCAUGUGGUUUAAUUCGAUGCAACGCGAAGAACCUUACCUGGUCUUGACAUCCACAGAAGAAUCCAGAGAUGGAUUUGUGCCUUCGGGAACUGUGAGACAGGUGCUGCAUGGCUGUCGUCAGCUCGUGUUGUGAAAUGUUGGGUUAAGUCCCGCAACGAGCGCAAC